rnacentral:rRNA from 1 species
CCUACGGGUGGCAGCAGUGAGGAAUAUUGGUCAAUGGACGCGAGUCUGAACCAGCCACGUCGCGUGAAGGAUGACUGCCCUCGGGUUUGUAACCUUCUUUUAUAUGGGAGUGAAAUAGUCCACGUGUGGCAUUUUAUAUGUGCCAUAUUAAUCAGGAUCAGCCAACGCCGUGCCAGCAGCCGCAGUAAUACGGAGGUUCCAAGCGUUAUACGGGUUUAUUGGGGUUAUAGGGAGCGUAGGUGGAUUGUUAAGUCAGAUGCGAAAGCUUGCGGCUCAACCGUAAAAUUGCAGUUGAAACUGGUAGUCUUGAGUACAGGAGAGGUAGGUGGAAUUCGUGGUGUAGCGGUGAAAUGCGUAGAUAUCAGGAGGAACACCGAUUGCGAAGGCAGUCUACUGGACUACAACUGACACUGAGGCGCGAAAGUGUGGGUAUCAAACAGGAUUAGAUACCCGGGUAGUC